AAUAAACACAACCAUAAAUUUUUGUGUCAAACUUUAAUAGUUUAUCUUAUUUAAUUUUUUAUGAUUAGUAUUUUUAUUGUUAUUAGAUUAUAAAACAUAAAUUAUACUUUAUGUGUGACUUAUUUUUUUAGUUUUUUUUAAAAAAUAAAUAAAACGAACUAUUAAAGUUGGACACGGAAACUUAUGGUUG
rnacentral:pre_miRNA from 1 species